rnacentral:rRNA from 1 species
GAACCUUACCAAGGUCUUGACAUCCUUUUGACCGAUCCGUAACGCACUUUUCCUUUGGAGCACAGAAGACACAGGGGGGCAUGGUUGUGUUCAGCUCGUGUCGUGAGAUGUGUGGGUUAAGUCCCCCAACGAGCGCAACCCCUAUCCUUAGUAGCCAGCGGUUAGGCUGGGCACUCUAGGGAGACUGCCAGGGAUAACCUGGAGGAAGGGUGGGGGAUGACGUCAAGGGCAUCAUGCCCCUUAUGAUUUGGGCUACACACGUGCUACAAUGGCGGGAACAAAGGGAAGCGACCUUGUGAAGCGGAGCAAAUCUCAAAAAUAACGUCUCAGUUCGGAUAUAGUCUGCAACUCGCCUACAUGAAGCUGGAAUCGCUAGUAUCGCAGAUCAGAAGGCGACGGA